AACGCACAUUGCGCCCGCCAGCAUUCUGGCGGGCAUGCCUGUUCGAGCGUCAUUUCAACCCUCAAGCACUGCUUGGUGUUGGGGCUCUACGGUUGACGUAGGCCCCCAAAACUAGUGGCGGACCCUCUCGGAGCCUCCUUUGCGUAGUAACUUUUGUCUCGCACUGGGAUUCGGAGGGAUUCUAGCCGUUAAACCCCCAAUUUUCUAAAGGUUGACCUCGGAUCAGGUAGGAAUACCCGCUGAACUUAA
rnacentral:misc_RNA from 1 species